rnacentral:lncRNA from 1 species
GUAAAACUGGUUUGGCUUCAUGUUUCAGUUUUGAGUUUCUGCAGGUGGAGACUUGGCCAUCCUCCAGUCAAACUAUACAUAUUUUCUGCUGCAUGUGUUCCGCCUGUGAAGGAACGCUACCGUGGCACAGGACCAAAGACACCUCCAGUCCAACCAGUUUUCUCCGGUCGAGCUUUAAAGAGCGAAGCGGCACGGACUCCUGUGAGUUCAGUUUGUGAUGUUGGAGGAUAAACUGAGGUCCAGACUCCAGCUGAGGCACUCAUGCAGCUGCAGAUGUCAGAAUGAGGCUGUGUGACGGAUACGAGCACGACGGGCAGACAGCUGCAGCACCCAGCUGCGCCACAGGGAGGCGCCGCUCGCUGCCUGCAGGUCAUAACCAGCUGAUCGACUACCUGGACAUUAAGUCGGCCAUUUAUCUGCUGAUGUCACACAAUCAGAACCCGGAGCUGAUCAAGAUGCAGCCUGCAGUGAAGCUGGUGUGUGUGAGGACCAGCAGUAAGGGACCAGUUCCAUGCUUUUAGUCCGUCCUGUGGCUCACAGUGAGUCCUCCUCUCACUGAUCACACCACGCUUCGUUUUUAACCACAAAUGUCUUCCACGGGUUACCAUGCUGUCGCCAUGGAGACGGAGGGAGAGGCCGCUCCACCUUGUAUUUAAAGUCGAGCUCUGCUGGAAACAGGAGGAGCUUCCGUUAACAAAAAUGAAACUAGAAUGAGGUGUCAGGACUGUGCAGCCUGAGAACAAGUCAAACCACCAGGAGGCGCUGCACAACCAAAGUCUAAACUCUACAGGUUUCCUCUCUAAAAUGGAACUACUCUGUUUUUCUGUAUUCUGCACGUCAUAACACACACACACACACACACACACACACAGCAGUGGUGGGAUGUAAAGUGUCUAUUUAUACGUCUUUUUACUUACGGACCGAUAACAGGGCAGACUUCAGAUUUCCCUCCAUGACACGUGGCAGCUGUGAUCUGUACUUUCUGCUCCUCUGCAUUUCCAGUGUUUGUUGUUACAUUUUAUGAACAGGUUCUCCAACAUGUCUCCUCCAGCUACACUAAAAUCUGGAUGGUGUUUCUGUCUCUGAGGUUUGAACCAAUCAGGGCUGUGUGAAGUAUGUGCAGGGAGUUCCGAGCUUCAGGACCUGCUGCAGUCAUUUUUGGGUUAUUUAUAAUGAAACUGAUUUUAUAACUAAUAGUGUGGUUAAAGAGAAGCUUGUAAGUGCUCUGUGGCUUCUGUUGUGUAGUCAUAUAAAGUCUGUUGUGUAGUCAUAUAAAGUGUUGUCAUGCUGAUGCACACACACACACACACACACACACACAUCUGUAUGGCCUGUAUCUGUGCAUCCAAAUAAAAACG